rnacentral:rRNA from 1 species
GCAAGUCGAGCGGUAACAGGGGAGAUUGCUCCUGCUGAGGAGCGGAGGUCGGGUGAGUAACGGGAAGGAAUCUGCCUAGUAGAGGGGGACAAAAUGUGGAAAUGCAUGCUAAUACCGCAUACGCUCUGAGGGGGAAAGGCGGGGAUCACUUGUGACCUUCCGCUAUUAGAUGAGCCUGCGUGAGAUUAGCUAGUUGGUAGGGUAAAGGCCUACCAAGGCGACGAUCUCUAACUGGUCUGAGAGGAUGACC